CCUGCGUCCGCCCCUCCCGCCGAGGCCGAGCGUGAGACCCGGGGCAGGUCGGCUGGUGCCGGGGCCGUGAUGGCGACGCCGCGGCCCUGCGCGGAUGGGCCCUGCUGCUCGCAGCCCAGCGCGGUGCUCGGCGUACAGCAGACGCUGGAGGAGAUGGACUUCGAGAGGGGAAUCUGGUCGGCAGCCCUGAAUGGAGACCUGGGCCGAGUGAAGCAUUUAAUCCAGAAGGCUGAGGACCCGAGUCAGCCCGACUCAGCCGGCUACACUGCACUGCACUAUGCCAGCCGCAAUGGGCACUAUGCUGUGUGCCAGUUCCUGCUGGAAAACGGAGCUAAGUGUGAUGCCCAGACCCAUGGGGGUGCCACUGCUCUGCACCGAGCCAGCUACUGUGGGCACACUGACAUCGCGCGUCUCCUGCUAUCACAUGGGUCCAACCCCAGGGUGGUGGAUGACGACGGCAUGACCAGUCUGCAUAAGGCUGCUGAGAGGGGUCACGGGGACAUCUGCUCCCUCCUCCUGCAACACAGCCCAGCCCUGAAGGCCGUCCGGGACCGAAAGGCACGGCUAGCAUGUGACCUGCUGCCCUGCAACAGUGACCUGCGGGACCUGCUAUCCAGCUGAGCCGCCACCCUGUCUCCAGCUGCCUUUAAAGGGUAAGUGGAGAAAGAGUUGAAGGGAAGGUGUUGGGAUUUGGACAUGGACUUCCUGACCCUGGAGCCUGGCCUACUGACUGGAGGAGGGGCCCCCAAGAGGCUGUGGCCCGGGAGAAGCUGAAAUUGGAAGAAGAGAAGAAGAAGAAACUUGAAAGAUUUAACAGUUCCAGAUUUAAUCUGGAUAACCUGGCUGACUUGGAAAACUUGGUUCAAAGACGGAAAAAGCGACUGAGACAUAGAGUCCCCCCCAGGAAACCCGAGCCCCUGGUUAAGCCGCAGCCCCAGGCCCAGGUGGAGCCUGUGGACCUGGAGAUGUUCCUGAAGGCAGCUGCUGAGAACCAGGAGUCCCUGAUUGACAAGUACCUGACAGACGGAGGGGACCCCAGUGCC